UACGUAGGCAGCGAGCGUUGUUCGGAGUUACUGGGCGUAAAGGGUGCGCAGGCGGUGGAGCAAGUCUGUUGUGAAAUCUCCCGGCUUAACCGGGAGGGUGCGGCGGAAACUGUUCUGCUGGAGUGAGGGAGAGGCAAGCGGAAUUCCUGGUGUAGCGGUGAAAUGCGUAGAUAUCGGGAGGAACACCAAUGGCGAAGGCAGCUCGCUGGGACGUGACUGACGCUGAGACGCGAAAGCGUGGGGAGCAAACAGG
rnacentral:rRNA from 1 species